CAGUGAGCUCUGUGAGGGACCUGUCCUCCAACAUAUAUAGAUGGCCUCAGUGUUCAGGUACUUUCAAGUGAAACAGGAAAAGUUUGUUUAAAUCUAAAGCAAAAGAACAAAUUGAAAUGUUGAAAUUAUCUGAGUUCUGUAUUUGUGUAAGAGUACAUAAGCAAAGGUGUCACCCCAUUGAGAUGUACAUUCACUGAGCUGGGAGGGAGGUAGGAGUUGGUCUCUAGGAUCCUGUCAGCAAAUCACAUCAGCGGCCACAAGCGGCACCUUUCCUCGUUCAGCCCUGCUGACUACCUUCUUGUAGAUUAAAUAUUUCCUGUGUGUAUACUUCCAGGAAUAAACUGUGAUCGCCUCUUCCCAGGCUGUGGAGCAAGAAGGGCAAAGAUGGUAACACAUGAGCGAUACCUGAGACCAAAAAAGAGGACCAAGACCUAAGAGGUGCCCUUGUCAGCUUUUUCUCACCAGCUCUAGGCAGCUUUGCUCAGUAUGAUAAGUGGUUUGGGUCUGUUCUUAUGUAACAUUUGAUAGGAAAUUAGAAAUAAAUUUUAUUUGAAAGAAAGAUUAAAUAAGUCUCUUUUGGGGAGAGUGUUAACAUUUGACCAGAGAUUUUGCAAGGCCAAAAAACAGUUUUGAAAAAAGAAUGGGGUGGUUCUCUGUAACUGCUAAGUUGUAAAAACUUUUACUCAUCUGCCCUAAAUUUCUUUCAUUAUGAUCUAUAGAGGGAGAAUGGAUUCAGUGGCACCCAGUGUCACUGUGGCACAGUGAGAUUUCAGGAUUUCAGGCAAGUACAGUCAGGCAGCUCCUGGGAACUGACUAGUUUGGUUCUCAUUUUCAUGACAUUUACAGAAAAAGAGUAAUUCUGAAUAAGCUGAUUUGUGAGCCUCUGGUCAGCCAGUCUUACAGAAUUGCCUCUUAUUUUCCUUAAGGUGAUCACCAAACACAUUAGGGAGCUCUUAAUCUCAGGUGUUGUUUGAUCUGAAUGAAAACUAACACAAAAUCAAUUUUUAGGUGUAGGACACAGCUCUGCUCAGUGAAACUGAUUAAAAUAGAAGAAAAUUUUCUCUUGAUUUUUUUCAUCUUUCUUAACCUUGUUUUCUGUGUAUUUGGCAUGAAAAAGCUCUGUGCAAGUCUCCUUGCCAUCACCUUGAAGCCUGGUAAUGUACCUGCUCCUCUAAGGAAUCUCACAGCUUCUCCUGCAGCAGAAUUGCUCUCAGUGUUGUUUCUGCCUCUUCCUCCCUCAGCUCCAGAAAUUUCUCCUAUGAAUGCUUAGUAUCUCCCACAGGAAAGAGCAAUCUCACCUCUGUCUAGGGAGCUCCUCCUGAGGGCAAGUGCUACAGAAAGGCUUCUCCCCAAGGAAGGAUGAUCAUCAUUCAGAACGGGGCCUUGGAAGGUGCCAGUGCUGCCAGCGCAGGUUCAGGAGCAUCAUCUCUCUCAGACAACUUCAACGAGAGAGACUGAGGAUACCAGUAGAGAUAAUCUAUUGUCAAUCAUUUGGAGACCAUUAAAUGGACACCAUGAAUUUCUUGUUUUUAAAAGGAAAGAACAUUUUCUGCUGAAGUGUCUUAGAUUCCACCCAGACAAAUAAUCAGGAAAAAGAGUACUAGUGUAUGCUCUGUAUGACAAAUAGAUGAGAAAAUAACUAAACCAGUCCAUCUCCUCGAUUUUCUAAGGCAGAUGCAAAAGGAUCUAGACUCUGCAAGUCUUAUAUAGGCACGUUUGUGUGGCUGGAAAGUGCUGCAGAACCUGCAGGUGCUGCCCCUGUCACUUGGUUUGUAAUCUGGCCGCUUUCCUAGAACUGGUUUACUAUACUGAGAAAAUAACAGAGAAGGUUACUGGUGGCUGAUAAGAUUGACAGCAGGGAGCAUGACAAUCAAAUCAGUUUAAUCCCAGUCUUCAUAAUCAAAAGAAUGAUCUGAGGCAUGACGUUCUAACUGAUAAUAAACAAAUUAUAAUACUUGCCACAUUUUUCACAAGUCCAGUACAAAUUCAAGACAGCAUUCAACUGUGGAUACAAAAGCAUUUGAUAAAGGCAAAGGAAUGAAAAAGUAAACAAAUCUUGCAAUAAACGUGAAAUGAAAAAAUAACAUCCUUGUGGACAAAGAUGAUAAUGUGAAGUAGAAAACACAAGGAUGGGAGAAAAGAAGUUGAAGCUGUUUUUCUAAAUUAUUUCAAUAUUAAGGCAGUGUGAGGGAGAAGGCUUCUAAUAGGCUCAGUAUGAUUUCAUAGAGAGCUGUAAUCCCAAAUGCUGCAGUUUAUCUCCUGAUAUUGCUGGAUUAAAUAUUUUCAGAAAGAAUACCUUUACUCCUCUAGACAUCUCAGCUCAUGAGAGGGGGAGCAUAAGGGAGAACUGCACUUCUGCUUCAAAACACUCCUUGACUAGAGGACUUGCCUUUCAAUGCUGAUUUUUUUCUGUUAAUGAAAGACAAUAAUAAUGCUUCAUAAUGGUAUUUGCUCAUAUGACCAUUAGUCAUCUUACUCUAACCAUUUAGAUGGGUGUGAUGGUGCUGGAAGAAACUCAUAGUUUGAACAGUGAACAAGCAUUGCCCACACCUAUGGGUCAGACCCAGACUUAUCCCACAGUGGGGGUUGACAGGAGGAGUUUGGCCAAAUGCCUGCAAAGCAACAAAGUUCUUCACCUCAUGUGAAGAAAUAGGGUGGCUCAGAAGGCCAUUUCCAGUUUAGUUAUACCUAAGCUUAACAGCUUUUCUUCAUUUUUGAACUAUCAGACUGAAACAAGGAGAAAGUUUUGGAGACUGUCUGCUAGGUAAGAAUAGUGUUUUGAGACCAAACUCAUAUCUUUUCUAGGUAUACUUGGAUUUGAUUUCUCUGUGGAGUAGAUUUCAAUGGAACUGAGACUGAGUACUUAGUCUUGCAUACUCCAAAAUUUAUAGUAGUCUAGGAACUGAAGUGAUGACACAGUCAGUAAGAAGUCAAUUUGUUCUUCAAGAAUCACAACUCAUUACUAAUAUUAUCAUCCCAGAGACUUCAAGAACUGAUACUAACCUGAGACCGAAAUGGCAAACAAAUUCUUUUGGUACAUGCAUGGCUCCUGCUCCAAGAGUCACUGCACUCUUGCAGAGUUCAGAGCUCCGCAACAUAGGAAUAUGAUUUUUUUUUUAAGUACAAUCAAAACCAUUGGCAUUACAUUCAACAAGGCCACAACAACAGCAUUUAUUACAGUGUGCAUUUAAGAGCAGAGAUCUCAGAACACUAUCUCGGAAGAGAGUAUAUGACCACUGCAGUGACUGCAAGGCAUUCUAGCAGAAGUUGUUCCAAUUCCUUCUUCUUCUGAAGCUCUUUCAUCUUGUACAAAUACUUAAAUAUUAAUGAGGAGGAGAUGAGAAUGAUGCAACAGGUUAAAUGCUCAUGCAUUUAUUGAGAAGGUGGAACAGGCAGCCAUCAGUUCCUGAUAAAUAAUUACACAAAGCAGAACAUCUGAUGUUGAAUGUCUGAGUAAAGGUACAUCCACGUGCUAUGACACCUAGAACAUGCACCAGGUAGGCAGACGGUAAAAAAGUGAGGUUUCUUAGGGAGGAUUUGAACUUCAGUCUCCCAUACAUUGUACAAGUGUCCUGACUACUCACUGAGGGCAAUGAGGGUAACUGGUACUUAGAACUUAGUGCUGUAUUUCUGUUGUUUACUUUCAUUAGAAGUAUCUACACUGGAAACCAAAUACUAUGUUUGAUAUUGAACUAAAUAUUUCCUUGAUUCAGAAUGAAUAUUUUCAGCCAUUCAUUACUAUGAGAAAAAAUUCAAAAAAAGUCUUCUCCAAAAAGAAUAUAUUAAAAAAAAAUAAAUAAAAUAAAACUCCAAUUCAGGUAUUAUUUUUCAUGUUUGGCUCAGCCACCAAACAAAAAUAAUCUCUUGCACAGUAUUAAGCGAGAUCACCCUUCUUAUAAGGAAGCAGCGUGACAUAAAUUGUCAGUAACUCGCAGGAACACAGUAAGAACUGCCACAAUUUAGAGUGGGACAAGUAUGGCAACAACAGAUGCAGUAUCUUGUGGUGGAUACAAAGUCAGUACCACAAUAGAAAGCCACACAGUGUCAACAGGCUAUUGCAGGGUCAGUUUGAGAAGCCAUUAGCAACCCAGCGUCAACAGCAGGAAGCACAGCAAUGAUAGAUGAGUGAGCAAGAGACAGAAGAAAAUAGUAUUUUAAAAUUCUAAAAACUGGAGUUUUCUCCAGAACAGUAAAGCCAGGAGACAGAGAGUCGCAGGCUAACAUGGGAAUCGAGAGGGAUAUUUGUAACGUCAUCACCUCCCUGAAUGUCAGAUGGUUCAGUACCAAUCAAACUAUAUCAAUUUUUAUCAAAUUGGGAAGCCCAAUAUCUCCUCUUUGAAACACAGCAAGUGCAUUUGGUAGUCCAGAAUAACGGAUUAUAGGAAAUCUCUGAUAUCAUAUUUUUGGACUAUCCUGGAUGAGUUUUUAGUAUUUCUGGCAGAUUUCUACCCUGGUAUUGUCCAAAAGUGUCCAUCUGCAGUUACAGAGAUAUUCCUGAGCUCCUUGGAAAAGACUGCCAAGGGCAAAGCUGUAAGUGACUGUGUAUGUAGAUAUUAAGUGCAAAGACGGACAGACUUCUACUGCUCCUCCUUGUGGUUGCCCAGGAACCUCCCUGUCCUAUGCACGAGUAUCUCAAGGAAUCCUUAAGGACCGUCCCUAGGAAUCAGGCUUAAUUAGAAUUUUUUCCAAUAUUUUGUUUGCAAGAGAAAAAAAGGUUGAUGCAAAAAAAAAAAACCCUACAGGAAUCGACUCUAAGAACAUCUGGCGAUUGUCAAACAACUUCACAUUUGAC